rnacentral:rRNA from 1 species
UACAGAGGUGGCAAGCGUUGUUCGGAAUUACUGGGCGUAAAGGGCGCGUAGGCGGUCUUCUAAGUCUUGUGUGAAAUCCCUCGGCUCAACUGAGGAACUGCACGGGAUACUGGAAGACUUGAGUUCGGGAGAGGGAAGCGGAAUUCCGGGUGUAGCGGUGAAAUGCGUAGAUAUCCGGAGGAACACCGGUGGCGAAGGCGGCUUCCUGGACCGAGCACUGACGCUGAGGCGCGAAAGCUAGGGGAGCAAACGGG